GGGUUGUGAGGUUAAGCGACUAAGCGUACACGGUGGAUGCCCUGGCAGUCAGAGGCGAUGAAGGACGUGCUAAUCUGCGAUAAGCGUCGGUAAGGUGAUAUGAACCGUUAUAACCGGCGAUUUCCGAAUGGGGAAACCCAGUGUGUUUCGACACACUAUCAUUAACUGAAUCCAUAGGUUAAUGAGGCGAACCGGGGGAACUGAAACAUCUAAGUACCCCGAGGAAAAGAAAUCAACCGAGAUUCCCCCAGUAGCGGCGAGCGAACGGGGAGCAGCCCAGAGCCUGAAUCAGUGUGUGUGUUAGUGGAAGCGUCUGGAAAGGCGCGCGAUACAGGGUGACAGCCCCGUACACAAAAAUGCACAUGCUGUGAGCUCGAUGAGUAGGGCGGGACACGUGGUAUCCUGUCUGAAUAUGGGGGGACCAUCCUCCAAGGCUAAAUACUCCUGACUGACCGAUAGUGAACCAGUACCGUGAGGGAAAGGCGAAAAGAACCCCGGCGAGGGGAGUGAAAAAGAACCUGAAACCGUGUACGUACAAGCAGUGGGAGCACGCUUAGGCGUGUGACUGCGUACCUUUUGUAUAAUGGGUCAGCGACUUAUAUUCUGUAGCAAGGUUAACCGAAUAGGGGAGCCGAAGGGAAACCGAGUCUUAACUGGGCGUUAAGUUGCAGGGUAUAGACCCGAAACCCGGUGAUCUAGCCAUGGGCAGGUUGAAGGUUGGGUAACACUAACUGGAGGACCGAACCUACUAAUGUUGAAAAAUUAGCGGAUGACUUGUGGCUGGGGGUGAAAGGCCAAUCAAACCGGGAGAUAGCUGGUUCUCCCCGAAAGCUAUUUAGGUAGCGCCUCGUGAAUUCAUCUCCGGGGGUAGAGCACUGUUUCGGCAAGGGGGUCAUCCCGACUUACCAACCCGAUGCAAACUGCGAAUACCGGAGAAUGUUAUCACGGGAGACACACGGCGGGUGCUAACGUCCGUCGUGAAGAGGGAAACAACCCAGACCGCCAGCUAAGGUCCCAAAGUCAUGGUUAAGUGGGAAACGAUGUGGGAAGGCCCAGACAGCCAGGAUGUUGGCUUAGAAGCAGCCAUCAUUUAAAGAAAGCGUAAUAGCUCACUGGUCGAGUCGGCCUGCGCGGAAGAUGUAACGGGGCUAAACCAUGCACCGAAGCUGCGGCAGCGACACUAUGUGUUGUUGGGUAGGGGAGCGUUCUGUAAGCCUGUGAAGGUGUGCUGUGAGGCAUGCUGGAGGUAUCAGAAGUGCGAAUGCUGACAUAAGUAACGAUAAAGCGGGUGAAAAGCCCGCUCGCCGGAAGACCAAGGGUUCCUGUCCAACGUUAAUCGGGGCAGGGUGAGUCGACCCCUAAGGCGAGGCCGAAAGGCGUAGUCGAUGGGAAACAGGUUAAUAUUCCUGUACUUGGUGUUACUGCGAAGGGGGGACGGAGAAGGCUAUGUUGGCCGGGCGACGGUUGUCCCGGUUUAAGCGUGUAGGCUGGUUUUCCAGGCAAAUCCGGAAAAUCAAGGCUGAGGCGUGAUGACGAGGCACUACGGUGCUGAAGCAACAAAUGCCCUGCUUCCAGGAAAAGCCUCUAAGCAUCAGGUAACAUCAAAUCGUACCCCAAACCGACACAGGUGGUCAGGUAGAGAAUACCAAGGCGCUUGAGAGAACUCGGGUGAAGGAACUAGGCAAAAUGGUGCCGUAACUUCGGGAGAAGGCACGCUGAUAUGUAGGUGAAGUCCCUCGCGGAUGGAGCUGAAAUCAGUCGAAGAUACCAGCUGGCUGCAACUGUUUAUUAAAAACACAGCACUGUGCAAACACGAAAGUGGACGUAUACGGUGUGACGCCUGCCCGGUGCCGGAAGGUUAAUUGAUGGGGUUAGCCGCAAGGCGAAGCUCUUGAUCGAAGCCCCGGUAAACGGCGGCCGUAACUAUAACGGUCCUAAGGUAGCGAAAUUCCUUGUCGGGUAAGUUCCGACCUGCACGAAUGGCGUAAUGAUGGCCAGGCUGUCUCCACCCGAGACUCAGUGAAAUUGAACUCGCUGUGAAGAUGCAGUGUACCCGCGGCAAGACGGAAAGACCCCGUGAACCUUUACUAUAGCUUGACACUGAACAUUGAGCCUUGAUGUGUAGGAUAGGUGGGAGGCUUAGAAGUGUGGACGCCAGUCUGCAUGGAGCCGACCUUGAAAUACCACCCUUUAAUGUUUGAUGUUCUAACGUUGACCCGUAAUCCGGGUUGCGGACAGUGUCUGGUGGGUAGUUUGACUGGGGCGGUCUCCUCCUAAAGAGUAACGGAGGAGCACGAAGGUUGGCUAAUCCUGGUCGGACAUCAGGAGGUUAGUGCAAUGGCAUAAGCCAGCUUGACUGCGAGCGUGACGGCGCGAGCAGGUGCGAAAGCAGGUCAUCGUGAUCCGGUGGUUCUGAAUGGAAGGGCCAUCGCUCAACGGAUAAAAGGUACUCCGGGGAUAACAGGCUGAUACCGCCCAAGAGUUCAUAUCGACGGCGGUGUUUGGCACCUCGAUGUCGGCUCAUCACAUCCUGGGGCUGAAGUAGGUCCCAAGGGUAUGGCUGUUCGCCAUUUAAAGUGGUACGCGAGCUGGGUUUAGAACGUCGUGAGACAGUUCGGUCCCUAUCUGCCGUGGGCGCUGGAGAACUGAGGGGGGCUGCUCCUAGUACGAGAGGACCGGAGUGGACGCAUCACUGGUGUUCGGGUUGUCAUGCCAAUGGCACUGCCCGGUAGCUAAAUGCGGAAGAGAUAAGUGCUGAAAGCAUCUAAGCACGAAACUUGCCCCGAGAUGAGUUCUCCCUGACUCCUUGAGAGUCCUGAAGGAACGUUGAAGACGACGACGUUGAUAGGCCGGGUGUGUAAGCGCAGCGAUGCGUUGAGCUAACCGGUACUAAUGAACCGUGAGGCUUAACCUUACAACGCCGAAGGUGUUU
rnacentral:rRNA from 1 species